rnacentral:rRNA from 1 species
AACGAACGCUGGCGGCAGGCCUAACACAUGCAAGUCGAGCGCUCACCUCCGGGUGGGAGCGGCGCACGGGUGAGUAACACGUGGGAACCUACCUUGAAGUACGGAAUAACUGAGGGAAACUUCAGCUAAUACCGUAUACGCCCUACGGGGGAAAGAUUUAUCGCUUCAAGACGGGCCCGCGUUGGAUUAGCUAGUUGGUGAGGUAAUGGCUCACCAAGGCAACGAUCCAUAGCUGAUUUGAGAGAAUGAUCAGCCACACUGGGACUGAGACACGGCCCAGACUCCUACGGGAGGCAGCGGUGGGGAAUAUUGGACAAUGGGCGCAAGCCUGAUCCAGCCAUGCCGCGUGAGUGAUGAAGGCCUUCGGGUUGUAAAGCUCUUUCAGAUGGGACGAUGAUGACGGUACCAUCAGAAGAAGCCCCGGCUAACUUCGUGCCAGCCGCCGCUGUAACAC